rnacentral:rRNA from 1 species
UACGGAGGUGCAAGCGUUACUCGGAAUUACUGGGCGUAAGAGCGUGUAGGCGGGUAAUAAGUUGGAAGUGAAUCCUAUGGCUCAACCAUAGAACUGCUUCCAAAACUGUUAACCUAGAAUGUGGGAGAGGUAGAUGGGAAUUUCUGGUGUAGGGGUAAAAUCCGUAGGAUAUCAGAAGGAAUACCGAUUGCGAAGGCGAUCUACUGGAACACAAUUGACGCUGAGACGCGAAAGCGUGGGGAGCAAACAGGAUUAGAUACCCCCCGUAGU